GGCCUUCUGUAUCCGUGCUGAGAUUUCAUCACACACCAGACCACAAGGGCUGAUGAGACUUCCAAGAUAAGUGAAGCG
rnacentral:pre_miRNA from 1 species